GAUGAACGCUGGCGGCGUGCCUAAUACAUGCAAGUCGAGCCAACAGAUGAGGAGCUUGCUCCUCUGACGUUAGCGGCGGACGGGUGAGUAACACGUGGAUAACCUACCUAUAAGACUGGGAUAACUACGGGAAACCGGAGCUAAUACCGGAUAAUAUAUUGAACCGCAUGGUUCAAUAGUGAAAGACGGUUUUGCUGUCACUUAUAGAUGGAUCCGCGCCGCAUUAGCUAGUUGGUAAGGUAACGGCUUACCAAGGCAACGAUGCGUAGCCGACCUGAGAGGGUGAUCGGCCACACUGGAACUGAGACACGGUCCAGACUCCUACGGGAGGCAGCAGUAGGGAAUCUUCCGCAAUGGGCGAAAGCCUGACGGAGCAACGCCGCGUGAGUGAUGAAGGUCUUCGGAUCGUAAAACUCUGUUAUUAGGGAAGAACAAAUGUGUAAGUAACUAUGCACGUCUUGACGGUACCUAAUCAGAAAGCCACGGCUAACUACGUG
rnacentral:rRNA from 1 species